AGUUCUCGUUGAUGAUCGGUGCUUGCACUGAGAUUCAACAUCCAUCGAGUGGCGGACGGGUGAGUAACACGUGGGUAACCUGCCCUUAAGUGGGGGAUAACAUUUGGAAACAGAUGCUAAUACCGCAUAGAUCCAAGAACCGCAUGGUUCUUGGCUGAAAGAUGGCGUAAGCUAUCGCUUUUGGAUGGACCCGCGGCGUAUUAGCUAGUUGGUGAGGUAAUGGCUCACCAAGGCGAUGAUACGUAGCCGAACUGAGAGGUUGAUCGGCCACAUUGGGACUGAGACACGGCCCAAACUCCUACGGGAGGCAGCAGUAGGGAAUCUUCCACAAUGGACGCAAGUCUGAUGGAGCAACGCCGCGUGAGUGAAGAAGGCUUUCGGGUCGUAAAACUCUGUUGUUGGAGAAGAAUGGUCGGCAGAGUAACUGUUGUCGGCGUGACGGUAUCCAACCAGAAAGCCACGGCUAACUACGUGCCAGCAGCCGCGGUAAUACGUAGGUGGCAAGCGUUAUCCGGAUUUAUUGGGCGUAAAGCGAGCGCAGGCGGUUUUUUAAGUCUGAUGUGAAAGCCCUCGGCUUAACCGAGGAAGCGCAUCGGAAACUGGGAAACUUGAGUGCAGAAGAGGACAGUGGAACUCCAUGUGUAGCGGUGAAAUGCGUAGAUAUAUGGAAGAACACCAGUGGCGAAGGCGGCUGUCUGGUCUGUAACUGACGCUGAGGCUCGAAAGCAUGGGUAGCGAACAGGAUU
rnacentral:rRNA from 1 species